rnacentral:lncRNA from 1 species
UUGUGAUAGUGAGUAAGUCUCAUGAGAUCUGUCACUUUUAUAAGGGCAAGUUUCCUUCCACAAGCUCUGUUUUUUUGCCUGCUGCCAUCCAUUUAAGGUGACUUGCUCCUCCUUGCUUUUCGCCAUUAUUAUGAGGCUUCCCCAGCCACAUGGAACUAACCUGGGUUCAUCCUUGGAGCAAUAUAUGAAAGAAAACAGAAAACAGCCACAGGAGCCUGGAGGGACAGAGGAGCUGGUCGCUUUGUGGACCACUGUACACCUGAGAAAGGUGACUCUUGAAAGGAAAAGAGGUAGGAAGACACGGGAUCCUGCUGCCUCUUGGGUGGACACCAUGCAGGUUGCUUGACGUACCCUUUGAAGUUCACGGGCACUGCAAAGAAUGCAUUUUUGUAGCUGAUCCAGCUCAAAUGCCCAGAUUCAUCCACAUCUGCAGCUUAUGUCACAGGGCUGGCAGCUAACAGAAACCAUCAGAUCUGCCUUUGUUUUCUUAUCAAAUCAUAUGUGAUAAUGUCACAACCAGUAAGUUGUGUUUUCAGGUAUGUGUUUGUACUGACUUGACAGUGAACCUAAAAAGUGAAAUAAAUAUGAAGAACGAGAAAUUCUAAAUUCUCACCCUUCAGGGGUGUUGGUAUUAUCAAUUUGCCUGUGUUGUCUUUAAACACACACACACACAUACACACACACACACACACACACACACACACAUCUUCUUUAGCUCUGGUGUAUAGAAAAGCAGGACAAAUCCUACAUUGACAAAUUAAUGACAGUAGUAAGCUAAGUCAUUUUAUUUUAUUUUAUUUUAUUUUUCUUUAUUUAUUAUUAUUAUACUUUAAGUUUUAGGGUACAUGUGCACAAUGUGCAGGUUAGUUACAUAUGUAUACAUGUGCCAUGCUGGUGCGCUGCACCCACUAACUCGUCAUCUAGCAUUAGGUACAUCUCCCAGUGCUAUCCCUCCGCCCUCCCCCCACCGCAC